rnacentral:rRNA from 1 species
UACGAAGGGGGCUAGCGUUGCUCGGAAUCACUGGGCGUAAAGCGCACGUAGGCGGAUUGUUAAGUCAGGUGUGAAAGCCCAGGGCUCAACCUUGGAAUUGCAUUUGAGACUGAAUAGCUAGGGUGCGGAAGAGGGAAGCGGAAUUUCCGGUGUAGCGGUGAAAUGCGUAGAUAUCGGAAGGAAGGCCGGUGGCGAAGGCGGCGCUCUGGAACAUUUCUGACGCUGAGGCUCGAAAGCGUGGGGAGCAAACAGG